rnacentral:rRNA from 1 species
GUGAGGAAUAUUGGUCAAUGGGCGCGAGCCUGAACCAGCCAAGUAGCGUGCAGGAUGACGGCCCUAUGGGUUGUAAACUGCUUUAGCCGGGGAAUAAAGUGGGCCACGUGUGGCUUAUUGCAUGUACCCGGAGAAUAAGCAUCGGCUAAUUCCGUGCCAGCAGCCGCGGUAAUACGGAAGAUGCGAGCGUUAUCCGGAUUUAUUGGGUUUAAAGGGAGCGUAGGCGGGAUGGUAAGUCAGCGGUCAAAUGUCCGUGCCCAACGCGGUCAUGCCGUUGAUACUGCCGUUCUUGAAUACACACAAGGGAGAUGGAAUUCGUUGUGUAGCGGUGAAAUGCUUAGAUAUGACGAAGAACUCCGAUUGCGAAGGCAGUCUCCUGGGGUGGCAUUGACGCUGAGGCUCGAAAGUGCGGGAAUCAAACAGGAUUAGAUACCCUAGUAGUCC